GUGAGAGGGGGUAGCUGGCUGGGGGAGGUGAGAACUGACUGGAUUCUGGAUCUGUUUUGGUGGAGGUGGUGAGAACAGAUCAGAUUCUGGAUGUCGUUGAAUGUACAUCUUUAAAUCUUCAGAAUGAUUUGAAUAUCUGCUGGAUCCGAUAUAAGCCGUCUACUCCAAAGCUGGCAUGAAGAGGAAGACGUCUGUGUCCUGGAAGGGCGGCGUAGCCUAUGCCCACUGUCCUGCGUACUCCUCACUUACCCAUGAAGUCAACAGACUUUGACUUUUCAAAUUAUCUGAAGCCAUCUACAUUUCCUUCUCUCACCUUGAAGAUUUUUGCUCUGUCCCCAGAUACUGCCCCUAGCCAUCUCAGCUCCAGUUAUUUCUCUGUCGUAGAGGAAAUCAGGAAUGCUGUUCUGAGCAAUGUCAGAAGGGAUGGUAGCAAUGUUGUAUGGUCACAGAGGAUCCUUCCCAAGCCGCUUGAUGAUGAGCCCUUAGGAUUUUAUAUGGGGUGUUGAUGGUUCACUGGUGAGAUCUGGGUUCAAGUCCCAUCUCAGUUACAGUGGAAAUAUUCUUGGUUUAAACAAACUACCUAUUCUACUGACUUCCACAGAAGCCCCAGGGGAAGAAAGCCUCUUUCUGGGGAUGCAGGAAGGCAUCCCAGGGGAGGUGGUCCACAGUUUGGCCUAAUAUUUAUAAAAGCUUCUUAGUGUUCCGCGUACUGACUUUGGAGGUGGAUCCUCUAAGUUGGAAUCCCAGAUCUACCUCUUAUCAACCGUGUAGUUCCUUGGGCAAGCAACUUAAUCUCUAAGCCUUGAUUUUCUCAUCUGUAAUGAGGCUGAUUGUAUCAACCUAGUUUAAUUGUUUUCAGGAUUGUAAACAAGAAUCUGCAUCUGUGCUCAGAAGUGAUAUCCUCUGUAAUUAUAUCCUGAGGCCGCUUGGUCUGUUGCCCUGAGGCUUCACAGAGAGCCCUGUCUGCAGGUUUUCCAACUGCUGAUUACAAUCAGAACCUCACCCAUCGCUCUGUGACCUCUCUCUGAGCUACUCCCUCCACUAUGCCCAGUGGAGGGGAGGAAGCCAGUCAGGACAUCACUGGAUUCUCUUCAGAUACAGUGAAGGGGCCCAAGGGAGAGGGUGGGAGAGGAAGGGAAAGGGAUGAGGGAUGGCUCCAAACUUUUGCAACAGUUAAAUGUUAAUAUAGGUGUCGGCAUAGGAAGUAUCUUCUAAUGACAGAAGGAACCCAGGGAGUUUUUCAAUCAUCUCCUGCUUAACACAUACAGAUGUAUUCAUAAUCACCCCUUGCCUCGGGCCUCGAGGCCCAGGUGGGUUCCAGACGGCCUGAGCCGCUGCCAGACAAGAGUCCUUAAAGAGCAUCAUGUAGACAAUUGGAAUGCCAUUUAUCGUGCAAAACACAAUAAAACCCUGAGCUCUCUUCCUGUCUCAGAGACCUAUAAAUUAUGAAAAUUAUACCUGCCCCAGGCCAUGGACAUAUUGUUUUAUUAAAGUCCCGAUGAAUAAACUUAAGGCUCUUAAAAA